UACGUAGGCAGCGAGCGUUGUUCGGAAUUACUGGGCGUAAAGAGUGUGUAGGCGGCGCUCUAAGUUCGGUGUGAAAUCUCUCGGCUUAACUGGGAGGGUGCGCCGGAAACUGGAGCGCUCGAACGUGGGAGAGGAAAGCGGAAUUCCUGGUGUAGCGGUGAAAUGCGUAGAUAUCAGGAGGAACACCUGCGGUGUAGACGGCUUUCUGGACCAUUGUUGACGCUGAGACACGAAAGCGUGGGUAGCAAACAGG
rnacentral:rRNA from 1 species